GAAAUGCGAUAAGUAAUGUGAAUUGCAGAAUUCAGUGAAUCAUCGAAUCUUUGAACGCACCUUGCGCUCCUUGGUAUUCCUUGGAGCAUGCCUGUUUGAGUAUCAUGAAAUCUUCAAAGUAAAUCUUUUGUUAACUCAAUUGGUUUCUACUUUGGUAUUGGAGGUCUUUGCAGCUUCACACCUGCUCCUCUUUGUUCAUUAGCUGGAUCUCAGUGUUAUGCUUGGUUCCACUCGGCGUGAUAAGUUAUCUAUCGCUGAGGACACUGUAAAAGGUGGCCAAGGUAAAUGCAGAUGAACCGCUUCUAAUAGUCCAUUGACUUGGAAAAUACUAUUAUGAUCUGAUCUCAAAUCAGGUAGGACUACCCGCUGAACUUAAGC
rnacentral:misc_RNA from 1 species